rnacentral:rRNA from 1 species
AGUGAACGCUGGCGGUAGGCCUAACACAUGCAAGUCGAACGGCAGCACAGUAAGAGCUUGCUCUUACGGGUGGCGAGUGGCGGACGGGUGAGGAAUACAUCGGAAUCUACUUUUUCGUGGGGGAUAACGUAGGGAAACUUACGCUAAUACCGCAUACGACCUACGGGUGAAAGCAGGGGAUCUUCUGACCUUGCGCGAUUGAAUGAGCCGAUGUCGGAUUAGCUAGUUGGCGGGGUAAAGGCCCACCAAGGCGACGAUCCGUAGCUGGUCUGAGAGGAUGAUCAGCCACACUGGAAGUGAGACACGGUCCAGACUCCUACGGGAGGCAGCAGUGGGGAAUAUUGGACAAUGGGCGCAAGCAUGAUCCAGCCAUACCGCGUGGGUGAAGAAGGCCUUCGGGUUGUAAAGCCCUUUUGUUGGGAAAGAAAAGCAGCAGGUUAAUACCCCGCUGUUCUGACGGUACCCAAAGAAUAAGCACCGGCUAACUUCGUG